rfam:Myotis brandtii contig311080, whole genome shotgun sequence.
CACUCAGGGAUGAGGUCCCCCAGCCUGGAUUGCAAGAGGGCACAGGCCAGGCUGAGGGACCCCAUCAGUGCAUG